AGAGUUUGAUCCUGGCUCAGAACGAACGCUGGCGGCGCGUCUUAAACAUGCAAGUCGAACGCUCUGUAGCAAUACAGGGAGUGGCGGACGGGUGAGUAACACGUGGGAAUCUACCACAAAGAGCGGGACAACCUCGGGAAACUGAGACUAAUACCGCAUGUGAUCGAAAGAUUAAAGGGCUAGCAAUAGUCGCUUUGUGAUGAGCCUGCGGUCUAUCAGCUUGUUGGCGGGGUAAUGGCCCACCAAGGCAACGACGGAUAGCCGGUCUGAGAGGAUGAUCGGCCACACUGGCACUGAGACACGGGCCAGACUCCUACGGGAGGCAGCAGUUAAGAAUCUUGCGCAAUGGACGAAAGUCUGACGCAGCGACGCCGCGUGAAGGAUGAAGGCUUUCGGGUUGUAAACUUCAGUAGACUGGGAAGAAAAAGUAAGUUCGUUGAGGGCUUACAUUGACGGUACCAGUCCAAAGCCCCGGCUAAUUACGUGCCAGCAGCCGCGGUAAUACGUAUGGGGCAAGCGUUGUUCGGAAUUAUUGGGCGUAAAGGGCUCGCAGGUUGUUUGUUAAGUUGGGGGUUUAAUCUUUGGGCUCAACCCAAAGUCAGCCUUCAAAACUGGCGAACUUGAGUACGAUAGGGGAUAGCGGAAUUCUCGGUGUAGCGGUGGAAUGCGUAGAUUCGAGAGGAACACCAAUGGCGAAGCAGCUAUCUGCUCGUAACUGACACUCAUGAGCGAAAGUACGGGAGCAAACAGGAUUAGAUACCCUGGUAGUCCGUACCGU
rnacentral:rRNA from 1 species